CAAAGUCUGUGUGUAUCAUCAUGCCAUCCGGCAUAGAUUAGAUCCGUUUAUUGAAUCCAACAGUUUGGUUAUGUUGGGCAGCCGGGGAGCAGGCUAGUCAAAUAUUUCAAUCUAGCAAUAGCAUAGCCCUGCCUGGUCUUCAACUGAGAAACACUGGCUUCGAGGCUACUGGAAGGAAGAUGAAUAUAAAGUAGAAGAAGAACCCCUUCUUCUUCACAAUCCCUUUUCACUUUCCAAUGAAGAAGAAGAAGAAACGACAACACCACCUUCAACCUCAUCAUCCAAACGCACCAGCUCAACGCCUCCUUUGUCUCGACGUUUUUCUUGGCCUUGCCAUCGCCAUAAUCAAGAUCAAUUUCUUCACAAGUUUUUGUUUCCCUUACAGCCCAUGUUUUUAGUUGAUUAUGGUGGAGGAGCUUUUCCUUGCAUCAAUCACUCUCCUUGGUUUGACGUGACGCUUGCUGAUUUUGUGAUGCCCUUUUUUCCUCUUUGUUGUUGGUGUCUUUAUCAGUUUAGUUUUUAAGGUAACAAAUUCCUCUUCAUUAUCAGGUUCAACAGGUGCUUCUUUCCUUCCUUUCACGUAGCUCUUCUGCACAAUUUAAUUUAAUAACAUUUUCUUGAGGUAAAUUAUUAUUUCAGAGUCAUAAUUAAACGACAAUAAGUUCAAGCCUCUUUAACACAAGGCAGUUGAGGAGAUACAAAAUCCUAAUAGGGCUCAGGCAAAAUUUAGACCGAAGGUUCAAAACUCAUUUAACAAACUUUUCUGUCUGUGUCAGACUACCAUCUUUCUCCAUUUUGAAGUCUAGGAAGAAACUGGACUAGAGAAACAUUUUCUGUGGUGAUUUCUUGUACUAUAAUCAUGAUGUUGGAUUCAAGAAUAACAUGAUGUUAUAAGAAUUUUACUUCUUCCAUUUUGGCAUCUGGAAGGACUUUGUACUUUGAAGCUUGCUCCCAUCACCAGGUCCAGUUAUUUUAGCUCGAGGAUUGAAAAGAUGUCUGAUAAAAAAGAUGACCAACCAUAUUAAGAUGGAGCUUGGCCUGCAUCUGAUCAUAUACACCUACCACAGGAAGCACAGGCCUAGGAAAGGGAAUGCGAAACUGGCAUGAGUAGCCCAGUACGCAAAGGUCUUCACUAAGAGUUUGCUGUGCUCUCCAAUUUUGCUUCUCUCGCAAAAGUCAAAAGGAAAUACAAGUGACUCCCAUUGUGUCAAAGUACAUCCCCAUUGGAUCAAAAUUCAAGGGCAGAAAAAAAAAAAAGAGGAUGGUCGCUUUCUGGCUGUAUGGCCUUUAUGAUCCAGACUGGGAAUUUGAAGUUCCAAGCACACAUCUGUUUGGUUACAAAUCUGGUACUAAAAUUUUUUUAUCGUCUCUGGGAUUGGACUUUCUUUGGUUCAGCUUUGUUAGUGGGCCAUUCUUCACCGGAAGCAUGUUUUCUGUUGAUUUAUCAGCCAUUUUCUGCUCAAACAAGGUGAAUUGUGGAGUGAAGGAAGUCUUGAAAGUUCCUUGUAAUGCAGUUGGCCUGAUUGAUCGAUUUUUUCUUUGUGAGCAUCAUCUAUAUCCGCACCCUGUGUAUAGAUGAACAAUGGAGAUGUUCUGAGGUACUCUCUAACACAUAACAAUUACAUUGUUUUCAUAGCAAUGUAGUGUUAAUUUUCCUGACUAUAAACCUCUAGUACCAGAUUCACCUAGUUGGUUCCUUUGCUCCAUUUGACUCCAAGGGCAUCUUGAGGUCAGAUAAACUGCAAUGCUUUCUCUUGCACCAUUUCUUAUGAAUCACCAGAUUAUUUUCUCCAUUAUAAUAACAUACAUUAAAGCCAAGUGCCCAUUUCAGAUGCUUUCACUGUACAAAUGUAUAGUGAUACAGCUCUUAGCAUGUCAGCAAAUAGUCAGCUCCUUUAUUUAUUAUUAUUUUUUUCCAGUUUUGAAAAACUUCACAUGGGUUCCUUGGUUUUUGCCAAUUAUCAUUUAGGUUUCCCAAAUUUAAUAAUUUAUCAAUGAGGUCCCUUAAGUAUCACAUAUAUUUCAAUGGAGUCUGGUCAUCAACUUUGGUUAAUAUUUUAUAUCAUUGUAUGCGCUCAAACAAAACUGGAUUGAUGAGAAUUUGAGAUUUUUAGAUGAAAGACCUAAUUGAAAAAUGUGGUGACACUCAAAAAAUGAAACUGAUAAAUAGAUAGAUUUAGAUGAAUUUAAGAAUCAGUUACUAUGUUACGAAAGAAAAUUAAAUGCUCUGAUGUUUAUCAACCACAUGGAGGACAAAUAGAUUAUACUAAUAUAUUAAAAUAUAGAAAUAUCCAUAGCAACUUGAGGGUGUCAUUCUAAUUGAUUGCAAAAAAUGAAGGAAAAUUUUCUGCUGAAAUAGCAUUUCAUUUACAUAAUCUUUGGACACCAAAAAAAGAAGAAGAAGCUUUUGUGUCAGUGACAAACUUUAGUGUUGAUUUCUUUUCUUAACAAUCUUUUCAGUUUCUUGAUGGCUUCUAUAACAUGUUCUCUUUGAUUGCAGUUCGGUCGUAUACUUGUUCAUUUUAAGGGCCACAUGCAGAGGCUGUAUUUGUGGUCGGCAUGUUCUUUCACUGUACAUUACUGGAUAUGUGUGAAAACUUCUUGGUGUUCCUUUUUAUUAACCAUUAUAUAUUUUGAGCUAUGUGUGCAUUAGAGCGGAAGCAUCAGGCUUGGCUUUAAUGAUUAUCUUUUACAUAUGGAGGGAUUUUGAAAAGAACAAGAGACUGAAGGAGAUUGGCAUGAAAGAAUCAUUUCAAUUCAACCAUAUUUUAUGCAGGUUGAUGUCUAACAUUUUAGAAAGCCCACAAUGGUACUUCAGUGGAUGGGAAUGAAUGCACUCAUCAUUUAUGCAUUGGCUGCAUGUGACCUUUUCACAGCAGCCAUUCAAGGUUUCUAUUGGGGUUCACCAGAAAACAACUUGGUUGAUGGCCCAUAAUCGCUGUUGCAAGCCAUGUUCCAUUCAAAGAAGUGGAGCACCUUAGUUUUGUACCAGUGGAGAUUUUAUUUUGAAAGGCAUGUGAGACUGCAUGGUAUUGUAGAUGCUGCUUGUUCCCUGUGAAAGACUAAAUUAUACAUUGUUAUUCCUGCAACAGUGUCUUGUUUUGUUCAGUGAUAUGCCUAGUGAUCUUUCGCUCAUCCCCCCAAAACCUGUGUAGAGGUGGGAUUUGAUCCGAACCUCCGGAAGACAACCUUGAGCCGCCUUUGUGUUAUAUUGGAUUAGCUAUCGUCCUUCUUUUUCAAUGUAUCAAUCUUUCCUUCAUUUUUGUAAUCAUUUCUACCCUUCUUUA